rnacentral:misc_RNA from 1 species
GAUGAAGAAUGUAGCGAAAUGCGAUAAGUAAUGUGAAUUGCAGAAUUCAGUGAAUCAUCGAAUCUUUGAACGCACCUUGCGCUCUUUGGUAUUCCGAAGAGCAUGCCUGUUUGAGUGUCAUGAAAAUAUCAACCUUGACUUGGGUUUUGUGCUCUAGUCUCGGCUUGGAAUUGGGUGCUUGCCGCUUUUACGAGCGGCUCACCUUAAAUGUAUUAGCUGGAUCUGUCUUUGAGACUUGGUUUGACUUGGCGUAAUAAGUAUUUCGCUAAGGACAUUCUUCGGAGUGGCCUCGUUUCUAGGACGCUUGUCCGCUUUCCAAUACAAGUUCCACCUCGUGGACAUGACUUUUUAUUAUCUGGCCUCAAAUCAGGUAGGACUACCCGCUGAACUUAAGCAUAUCAAUAAGCGGAGGA